rnacentral:rRNA from 1 species
UACGGAGGGUGCGAGCGUUAAUCGGAAUUACUGGGCGUAAAGCGUGCGUAGGCGGCCCGGUCAGUCUUGCGUGAAAGCCCCGGGCUCAACCUGGGAACUGCGCGGGAUACUGCCGGGCUGGAGUGCGGGAGAGGGCGGUGGAAUUUCCGGUGUAGCAGUGAAAUGCGUAGAGAUCGGAAGGAACACCAGUGGCGAAGGCGGCCGCCUGGACCGACACUGACGCUGAGGCACGAAAGCGUGGGGAGCAAACAGG